rnacentral:rRNA from 1 species
GNUGGCGGCGCGCAUAAUGCAUGCAAGUCGAACGAAGUCCCACCCUUCGGGGUGAUGACUUAGUGGCAGACGGCUGAGUAACACGUGAGUGAUCUGCCUUUGGGUGAGGGACAACAGAGGGAAACUUCUGCUAAUACCUCAUACGAUCCAAGAUCUAGGGUCUUGGAUGAAAGGUGCCGGGUAACUGGUUGCCGCCCUUAGAUGAGCUCGCGGCCUAUCAGGUUGUUGGUGGGGUAAUGGCCUACCAAGCCUAAGACGGGUAGCUGGUGUGAGAGCACGACCAGUCAGAGGGGGACUGAGACACGGCCCCCACUCCUACGGGAGGCAGCAGCAGGGAAUCUUCCACAAUGGGCGAAAGCCUGAUGGAGCGACGCCGCGUGAGGGAUGAAGGCUCUAGGGUCGUAAACCUCUUUUCUUAGGGAAGAGCAAGGACGGUACCUAAGGAAUAAGUGACGGCUAACUACGUGCCAGCAGCCGCGGUAAUACGUAGGUCACAAACGUUGUCCGGAAUUAUUGGGCGUAAAGGGUCCGUAGGCGGUUCUGUAAGUCUCCUGUGAAAUCUUCAGGCUCAACUUGAAGAGGUCGGGGGAUACUGCUGAACUUGAGACUGACAGAGGCAAGUGGAAUUCCCGGUGUAGUGGUGAAAUGCGUAGAUAUCGGGAGGAACACCAAUGGCGAAAGCGGCUUGCUGGGUCAGUUCUGACGCUGAGGGACGAAAGCGUGGGUAGCAAACCGGAUUAGAUACCCGGGUAGUCCACGCCGUAAACGAUGAAUGCUAGGUUUUCGGGGUAUCGACCCCCUGGGAGCCGUAGUUAACGCGAUAAGCAUUCCGCCUGGGGACUA